rnacentral:lncRNA from 1 species
GGGAACCCUCCCGGACUGGACCGGAGGCCUGGGCACCAAAGGUCAGAUGGUCAGGCAAGUGUACCAGAAGGGGCUGAGCGGGGAGGAGACCAUGACGAGGUUGCUGUCUCCUGACUUCUCCGCUGAUCCUCAGGGCAAAUGAGGCCAGGGUGGGCCUUCCUCCCGCCCUGACCUGGCAGCGCCUCCAGAAUGGCACCAGCUGUGGAAGGCUGACUCACAGCGAAGCAGGGUGGCAAGGCUCAUCUUGGAGGUAUCUGGAGUGUCACUUGCAGCUGCUUCCUGGAGCCACCUGAUCCCUGUAUUAGCUGUGGAGACAGCUGCUCCACCAGAUGCCACUUCCAGAGUCCUGUGCCCGAGCCAGACCAGAGAAGCCGAGUCACAGGGGCGAGCUUCUCCCAGGUGUUCUGAGUUUGAUUACAAAGGCAGGGAUACUGGUCAGCUUUCCCUUGCUGUGAAAAACUUCCCAAGAAAAUCAACUUAGGAGGAGAAUAGGAUUAUUCUGACUCACAAUUCCAGAGUCCAUGGUUGCUCGGCUGGGUUGUCUGGGUCUUGGGGUGCGGCAAGACAUCAUGGAGCGUGGCAGAGCAAAGCUGCUCACCCUCACAGCACCCAGGAAGCAGAGAGAGAGAGAAGGGGAAGGAAGCAGGAUACCAACAGCCCCUUCAAGGGCCUGCACCACUUCCUUCCCCCAGGCCCCAUCUCUUAAAGGUCCCACACCUCCCAGGAUCGCUGUCACCAGGGACCAAGCCUUCAACACAGGAGCCUUUGGGGGAUACUGAGGAUCCCAACCACACUGGCUAGAAAUCUGUUAGCUGUAUCGAAGAUGCAGAUGGUGAUCACAGUGACUACAGAGUGAGGAAGGUUAUAAAUGCGUCUAAAUAAGUAGCUUAGACACAGUGCCACAAGGCUCCUGUGUGCUGUCCCCCUAAGCACAAUCGAAAAGUCUCAGCAUCUGUAUUUUACGAAUAAGUAACUAAGGCACAAAGAAGGUGGGGAACUUUCAAAAGGUCACACAGCUAGUUAGUGACAGGCUAUAGUUUCAGCCCAGCUCUGACUUCAGGUUCCAUGCUUCCAAACUACACUAUUCUGCCUCCUAAAACAUAUUUUAAACUAACCAUCUGUCCAGUGCUGUCUCAUUUUUAAUCAAGCAAUACUUUUUUAGAGAUGGAAAGGCUGCUGUAGGUGGCAGGAGAAUGGGAGUGGUGGCCUGGUUGUAGGCCUGCCACCUGGGCACCUCUAUGGCAACUUAAUGAAGGGG